rnacentral:rRNA from 1 species
AACGAACGCUGGCGGCAUGCCUAACACAUGCAAGUCGAACGAGACCUUCGGGUCUAGUGGCGCACGGGUGCGUAACGCGUGGGAACCUGCCUUUAGGUUCGGAAUAACUCAGAGAAAUUUGAGCUAAUACCGGAUGAUGUCUUCGGACCAAAGAUUUAUCGCCUUUAGAUGGGCCCGCGUUGGAUUAGCUAGUUGGUGGGGUAAAGGCCUACCAAGGCGACGAUCCAUAGCUGGUCUGAGAGGAUGAUCAGCCACACUGGGACUGAGACACGGCCCAGACUCCUACGGGAGGCAGCAGUGGGGAAUAUUGGACAAUGGGCGAAAGCCUGAUCCAACAAUGCCGCGUGAGUGAUGAAGGCCUUAGGGUUGUAAAGCUCUUUUACCCGAGAUGAUAAUGACAGUAUCGGGAGAAUAAGCUCCGGCUAACUCCGUG